AUGCCUUUCUGCCCUCUGUCCCUCCUGUCUGGUCACCACCGCCAGGGUGUGCUGCUGCUUUAUCCAGCCCUAAUCAGCCACUGGAAAGGUAGCUGCGGGGGAGAAGCUGACGCUCCCCUUUCCAGCAAUGCCCGGCUAGAGGUCAACAGCUCCAUGUGGCCAGCAGGGAAGGGGGCCAUCUUGAUCUUCAAAGGCAGAAAAGGCGAGUCAAGCCAAGCCAAAGGAGAGUUGAACUCAAGGGCAAACCCCUUAAGGCCAGUCUUCACAUACAAGGGAUGUUGACCAUGCUGAGGUUUGAACUACUGAGCCUGUUUGGUGAGUUGACAAGGGAUUUCAUUCUCCAGCUAUUUUGUGAGUACCUUUCACCUGGGGCUAACUCAUUUCCCAAAGAGAAGUAGCAAAAUCCAGGCCUGGACUGUUCACAGCAGGAGUCCCCUCCGUCUGGAACAGAAGCCUAAGGGAUGGGCCAGUCAUAGAGGCGCAAGGAUGAAAGUGUUAAGGUGACACCUCUAGGUAUAACCUGAAAUAAAGAAAAUUCUAAAGUAAGAGUGUGGAUGUCCAACAAAGUUCUGAUUCUUAUCUCCCAUAAUGACUCCCCAGGGUGCUUUUAUUUGAAAUAUAAAAUGUCAAAAUUUUUCGGGUGUUUUUUUCUUCUUCUUUCUUUCAGGUGCCCUAAGUGCCUUCUGAUGGGACUGUAUACCCAGCCACUUAUAAUUCUAACCACUCUGCCAGCUUCAGAAGGCGCUCACCCUCCUACAGAAGUCAAUUUAAGAAAACUCAUGGGUUCCUUGGCAAUAUUUAAAUUCUGAGAAGUAUUAAGAAGGACUGAAGGAAGUUUGUUUUUUUUUUUUUAAAUCGGGUCUGCCCUCUAGGAGAAUUCAAUUGGAGUUGUUUUAAAGGAACACCGUACGGCCUGAACUUGACAAUUAAUUCUCGCCAAAAACCAAACCCUGACAGCAGUGAGGACUAUUAAAUAAUCCAAAUUACAAGGGCUUACCUCCUCACAGCCAGAGGCACUGCUCGGUGGCACCGGGCAAAGCCUGGUGGCGGCCGGAGGUAGGAAGAGGAGCAUUCUGAUUACUCGGCUUAGUGGGACUGAAUGGAAAAAUUCCUAGGCACAAACAGGGGAACUUGGCAACUGGCUGGACGUGGGGCUAGAGAGUCAGGUUGUUGUUAAAAGCAAGUUGAGGGUAAUGAGAGUGGGUUACCAGGAAAGGGAGGGGACGACAUCAGCAAGGAGAGGGGACGCAGCGUCUGGAUUCUUAACUCGGCAUGGCUUUCCUGGGUCUCAGGUUCCUAAACUGUAAAAUGAAUGGGUACUUUUUUUUCCCUCUCCUAAACAAAACUGCCCAGAAGCCCAAUGUCCAAAGCCGAGUGGCCAGGAGUGGUGGGAGCCUCCCCUCAUCCAGGAGGGGCUUCUCUGCAGGACCAUCCGGGGCUGCAUGAACAUAGUUUGAAAGCCACUGCACUAUUAAAAGUGAGUAAGAAGGAUUAGAGGACAUUUAUUUCUUAUAUAUACCUGAGGCACUUGGCAGAAAAAAGUAGUCAGCCUCAUUUCCCCUGAAAUAAUACACUUUAUUUACAUUAUAAUUUAGCCUUUAUCCAGAGCCUAAUCCCAUACUGUCCCUACUUCCACAACAGAGUUUUCACUUACUUUUUAGUAACCAGACAAACAAGAUCUUCCCGCUGGAAGGUUGUUAUCUUGCCAUUUAACUUCCUCCUCCUACAGGGCAGUUUACUAGAAGUAUUGGAGAGGCAACAAGAAACCUCAUGUUCAAGUCUGGUCUGGCCAUAGACUAGCUGUGUAACCUUGGAUAAGUUACCAAAUGUCUCUGAGCCCUUCCCCCCACCCCCGCCCCCACCCCCGCACCAAUAAAUGAAGGGGAAUGAUUCUAAAGGACAGUUCCAAUGCUAAAAUUCAAAGCCUUUAUAACGAGGUGAAGAAAAGACCCUAUAACCCAUAGAUUGUCCCCCAAAUUAAAAAGAUUCUCUAUCGUUCUAGACAACAAGACAGUUAUUCCAGGUGUGACCCGCUUUUUAUUUGCUUGAUGAGCCUGAAACAAAACGUCAAGAUUCUUUGGAUGAACAUGUCUGUCUUGCAUUA
rnacentral:lncRNA from 1 species